rnacentral:rRNA from 1 species
CCUACGGGAGGCAGCAGGGGGGAAUAUUGGGCAAUGGAGGAAACUCUGACCCAGCAACGCCGCGUGAAUGAUGAAGGUCGUCGGAUGGUAAAGGUCUUUUCUAAGGGAAGAAGAAAGUGACGGUACCUUAGGAAUAAGCCUCGGCUAACUACGGGCCAGCAGCCGCGGUAAUACGUAGGAGGCAAGCGUUAGCCGGAACGACUGGGCGUAAAGGGGGCGUAGGUGGUUUGACAAGGUGGUAGCGUAACUCCGGGGCUCAACCUCGGCACUACUACCAAAACUGUCGGACUUGAGUGCAGGAUGGGCAACUGGAAUUCCUAGUGUAGCGGUGUAAUGCGUAGAUAUUAGGCGGAACACCAGUGGCGAAGGCGAUUUGCUGGACUGUAACUGACACUGAGGCACGAAAGCGUGGGGAGCAAACAGGAUUAGAUACCCUGGUAGUC